UUCAACUUCGUGUGGUCCUACAGCCCCGCCUCUACCUUCAGUGUGGUCAUAGAGCGAGGGAGUGAGUAGGAGGGACUAGGACUGACUGCAGGGACAGAGGCACAGACACAGAAGAUGUGGGCUGAGCUGUACUGCAGGCAGAGAGGAGCUGGAGAGGGGUGAGACAGAGCGGGCCUGGCCAUGUGGGCUGUCCUGUGGGGGGGGUUAUUGCCCAUCAUAGCAGUCACUGGCCAGGUGGCCUUGGAGCAACACGAGAGGGAACUGGCCGUGCAAGGGGGAGAUGGAGUCACCUUCCAGUGCAGCAUGAGUGGCGGCAGCAUGAGCAGAGAACAAGGAAAGGGGUUGAAGUCAGUUCAUCAGCUGUUGUCUCUGCUGCUCCUGCCCUCUCAUGCACUUCCCCUGCUCCAUCGUGUGCUCUCAGCCAUGGAACACAGCUCUUCAUGAACUUCUCCAACGUGGGUCCUUCCCGUGCUCUGCAGUUCUUCACAAACUCCUCCAGCCUGGGUCAUUCCCACGGGGUGAAUUCCUUCAGGAAAAGACUGUUCCAGUGUGGGUCCUCUGUGGGGCACAGGUCCUGCCAGAAAACCUGCUCCAGCGUGGGCUCCUCUCCACAGGACCGUGGGUUUUGCCAGAAGCCUGCUCCAGUGUGAUCUCUCCACAGGGUCACAGCUUCCUUCAGGCACAUCCACCUGCUCUGGUGUGGGCUCACCCUACGGGCUGCAGGGUGGAUAUCUGCUCCAUGGUGGGCCUCCAUGGGCUGCAGGCGGACAACCUCUGUUACCAUGGUGUUCGCCACAGGCAGCAGGAAAUUCUCUGCUCCAGCACCUGGAGCACUUCCCCUACGUCUUUCACUGUCCCUGUCAGCCAGCAUGGGUUUGUGAAGUGGAAAUUGUGCUUAACCAAAUUGAAAGCAUCCAACAUUAAGAUGAAUGCU